rnacentral:rRNA from 1 species
AUUAAAGUUGUUGCAGUUAAAAAGCUCGUAGUUGGAUUUGAUGGGAGGGGAGGUUUAUGUUCUCGAACGUAAUACUUCCCCCACCAUUUGGGUCCUCGCGGACCCAGUCACUUUGAAAAAAUUAGAGUGUUCAAAGCAGGCUAUCACGCCCGAAUAGAUAUCAUGGAAUGACAGAACAGGACCGUUUGUGGGCCAAUUUCUGUGGGUUUUACACCACCGGUAAUGAUUAAGAGGGACGGAGUCGGGGGCAUCAGUAUUCAAAAGUCAGAGGUGAAAUUCUUGGAUUUUUUGAAGACUAACUACUGCGAAAGCAUUUGCCAAGGACGUUUUCAUUAAUCAAGAACGAAAGUUAGGGGAUCGAAGAUGAUCAGAUACCGUCGUAGUCUUAACCGUAAACUAUGCCGACUGGGGAUGGGCUGCUACACAAUACAAACAUAGCAGCCCGCACCCACCGAGAAAUCAAAGUCUUUGGGUUCCGGGGGGAGUAUGGUCGCAAGGCUGAAACUUAAAGGAAUUGACGGAAGGGCACCACCAGGAGUGGAGCCUGCGGCUUAAUUUGACUCAACACGGGGAAACUCACCAGGUCCAGACACAAUAAGGAUUGACAGAUUGAGAGCUCUUUCUUGAUUUUGUGGGUGGUGGUGCAUGGCCGUUCUUAGUUGGUGGAGUGAUUUGUCUGCUUAAUUGCGAUAACGAACGAGACCUUGAGCGGGUGUUGGGGAGCCUUAUAUUUUUUAUGUAGGGUACUUCUGAUACCUGCGACAACUGGCGCAAGCCAGCGGAAGCGAGGCAAUAACAGGUCUGUGAUGCCCUUAGACGUUCUGGGCCGCACGCGCGCUACACUGACGCAGCCAGCGAGUAUAUUAAUUUGUCCUUGGCCGAGAGGUCUGGGGAAACUUGUGAAACUGCGUCGUGCUGGGGAUAGAGCAUUGUAAUUGUUGCUCUUGAACGAGGAAUUCCUAGUAAGCGCAAGUCAUCAGCUUGCGUUGAUUACGUCCCUGCCCUUUGUACACACCGCCCGUCGCUACUACCGAUUGAAUGGCUUAGUGAGGCUCCGGGAGAUGCUGGUUCUGAGGGUGACCUUGGAGCCGGUGUCGAACUCAUCCAAACUUGGUCAUUUAGAGGAAGUAAAAGUCGUAACAAGGUUUCCGUAGGUGAACCUGCGGAAG